rnacentral:snRNA from 1 species
GGCCAGAGGUGGGACCUCUGUCACCUCACUGAUCACCAGAGUUGAUUCAGCUGAUCUGGGCUGACUAAGUGAUCAUCCUAGUCCUUCCUCAUGGCUUCAUAUGUGGCCCUCUCAAAGCCGUGUGCUUGGCCGAGGAGGACAACCCUUCUCAAUAGAGAGGACUGUCCUUUGGCCAAGGGGAUAUGAACAGCUGGGCUCCCCUGCAAGAAACUCCAAGCAAGCUCUUGGGGUCCAUUUAACUAUAACCCCCUCAAACUCACUGCAAUUGAUUUGAUUCUGACU